rnacentral:rRNA from 1 species
CAGCAGCCGCGGUAAUACCGGCGGCCCGAGUGGCGGCCACUAUUAUUGGGCUUAAAGCGUCCGUAGCCGGGUUGGUUAGUCUCCCGGGAAAUCUGGCCGCUUAACGGUCAGAAUUCCGGGGGAUACUGCCAGCCUAGGGAACGGGAGAGGCCGAGGGGAUUCCCGGAGUAGGGGUGAAAUCCUAUAAUCCCGGGAGGACCACCUGUGGCGAAGGCGCUCGGCUGGAACGGGUCCGACGGUGAGGGACGAAGGCCAGGGGAGCAAACCGGAUUAGAUACCCGGGUAGUCCUGGCGGUAAACGAUGCGGACUUUGUGUCGGACAAGCUAUGAGCUUGUCCGGUGCCGGAGGGAAACCGUUAAGUCCGCCGCCUGGGGAGUACGGCCGCAAGGCUGAAACUUAAAGGAAUUGGCGGG